GACGAACGCUGGCGGCGUGCUUAACGCAUGCAAGUCGAACGGAAAGGCCCUGCUUUUGUGGGGUGCUCGAGUGGCGAACGGGUGAGUAACACGUGAGUAACCUGCCCUUGACUUUGGGAUAACUUCAGGAAACUGGGGCUAAUACCGGAUAGGAGCUCCUGCUGCAUGGUGGGGGUUGGAAAGUUUCGGCGGUUGGGGAUGGACUCGCGGCUUAUCAGCUUGUUGGUGGGGUAGUGGCUUACCAAGGCUUUGACGGGUAGCCGGCCUGAGAGGGUGACCGGCCACAUUGGGACUGAGAUACGGCCCAGACUCCUACGGGAGGCAGCAGUGGGGAAUAUUGCACAAUGGGCGGAAGCCUGAUGCAGCAACGCCGCGUGCGGGAUGACGGCCUUCGGGUUGUAAACCGCUUUCGCCUGUGACGAAGCGUGAGUGACGGUAAUGGGUAAAGAAGCGCCGGCUAACUACGUG
rnacentral:rRNA from 1 species